UACGUAGGGAGCUAGCGUUGUCCGGAAUCAUUGGGCGUAAAGCGCGCGUAGUCGGCCCGGUAAGUCCGCUGUGAAAGUCAAAGGCUCAACCUUUGUAUGUCAGCGGAUACUGCCGGGCUAGAGUCCGGAAGAGGCGAGUGGAACUCCUGGUGUAGCGGUGGAAUGCGCAGAUAUCAGGAAGAACACCAACGGCGAAGGCAGCUCGCUGGGACGGAACUGACGCUAAGGCGCGAAAGCGUGGGGAGCGAACAGG
rnacentral:rRNA from 1 species